UGAGGAACAUGACCUUCGGCGGGGGAUAGCCGGCCCAACGGCCGGGUAAUACCGCGUACGACCACAUGGGGACAUCCCUGAGUGGUGAAAGCAGCAAUGCGCCGAUGGAGUGCCUCGCGGCCUAUCAGCUAGUUGGUGAGGUAACGGCUCACCAAGGCGACGACGGGUAGCUGGUCUGAGAGGGUGGCCAGCCACAUUGGGACUGAGACACGGUCCAGACUCCGUAGGGAGG
rnacentral:rRNA from 1 species